rnacentral:tRNA from 1 species
GGUCGGAUAGCUGAGAUGGAUUAGCGGCGGUCUGAAAAGCCGCACAGGUUGGUUCGAUACCAACUCCGACCA